CCUACGGGAGGCAGCAGUGGGGAAUAUUGCGCAAUGGGCGAAAGCCUGACGCAGCGACGCCGCGUGAGGGAUGAAGGUCUUCGGAUCGUAAACCUCUGUCAGCAGGGAAGAACGGUCACUGUGCUAAUCAGCAGUGAAUUGACGGUACCUGCAAAGGAAGCACCGGCUAACUCCGUGCCAGCAGCUGCGGUAAUACGGAGGGUGCGAGCGUUAAUCGGAAUUACUGGGCGUAAAGCGCUCGUAGGUGGUAUGUCAAGUCAAGGGUGAAAUCCCCGCGCUCAACGUGGGAACUGCCUUUGAAACUGGCAGGCUGGAGUGUGUGAGAGGAUAGUGGAAUUCGAGGUGUAGCAGUGAAAUGCGUAGAUAUCGGGAAGAACAUCGAUGGCGAAGGCGACUAUCUGGCACAUAACUGACGCUGAGGAGCGAAAGCGUGGGUAGCAAACAGGAUUAGAUACCCUAGUAGUC
rnacentral:rRNA from 1 species